UGGUUAAACACAUACCCAUCUAAAUUUUUUUAUAGCCUUCCAUGUUAAACUAUAAGUAAAUAAUUAGUUUUAAAAUUGUUUUGUAUUUUCUUAUUCCUGUUCCCUUUACCCUUUGACAACUUGAAAUGUUACCACUUCGUCCUCAUGAUGUUCUUCUAUCAACCCUGCUUAGGAUGAGAACAAGUUGAGCAGUGCCAACGGCCAUGAAGAACGUAGCAAAAAACAAACUUUCUGCCUCCUUGGAAAGCUCUACAUCUCCUUGUGAUUGGAGUGUGGGUUUCAAGAUUCCAGAAGGAGGAAAAAAAGCAAGAGCAGAAGUCGUAGUCAUGAACGAAAGAGAAGCAAAAGUAAGGAACGGAAGCGAAGUAGA
rnacentral:sRNA from 1 species